rnacentral:rRNA from 1 species
UGAAUACGAGAUGCUACGGCAUUGAAGCAGCGUAUGUCAGACUUCCAAGAAAAGCUCGCAAUGUCAUAAACAAUAAAUGCCUGUACCAUAACCGACACAGGUGGGUAGGUAGAGUAUACUAAGGGGCGCGAGAUAACUCUCUCUAAGGAACUCGGCAAAAUGACUCCGUAACUUCGGGAGAAGGAGUGCCUUAUUUUAUAAGGUUGCAAUAACAAGAUCCAAGCAACUGUUUACCAAAAACACAGGCCUCCGCUAAGUCGAAAGACGAUGUAUGGGGGCUGACGCCUGCCCAGUGCCAGAAGGUUAAAGAAGUUGGUUAGCUUCGGCGAAGCUGAUGACUGAAGCCCUGGUGAACGGCGGCCGUAACAAUAACGGUCCUAAGGUAGCGAAAUUCCUUGUCGGGUAAGUUCCGACCCGCACGAAAGGCGUAAUGAUUUGGAUACUGUCUCGGAGAGGGGCUCGGUGAAAUAGACUUGUCUGUGAAGAUGCGGACUACCUGCACCUGGACAGAAAGACCCUAUGAAGCUUUACUGUAACUUGAGAUUGAAAUUGGACUUUAUUUGCGCAGUAUAGGUGGGAGACGUUGAGAAUAUUCUUGCGGGAAUAUUGGAGUCAUCAGUGAGAUACCACUCUUGUAAUGUUAGAUUUCUAACUUUGUAUCAUUAUCUGGUCAAAGGACAGUUUCAGGCGGGCAGUUUGACUGGGGCGGUCGCCUCUUAAACGGUAACGGAGGCGCACAAAGGUUUCCUCUGAACGUGUAGAAAUCGUAUCUAGAGUGUAAAGGCAUAAGGAAGCUUGACUGUGAGACCUACAAGUCGAGCAGGGACGAAAGUCGGUCUUAGUGAUCUGACGGUGCUGAGUGGAAAGGCCGUCACUCAACGGAUAAAGUUACUCUAAGGAUAACAGGCUGAUCUCUCCCAAGAGUUCACAUCGACGGGGAGGUUUGGCACCUCGAUGUCGGCUCAUCGCAUCCUGGGGCGGUAGUACGUCCCAAGGGUUGGGCUGUUCGCCCAUGAAAGCGGUACGCGAGCUGGGUUCGGAACGUCGUGAGACAGUUCGGUCCAUAUCCGGUGUAGGCGUUAGAAUAUUGAGAGGAGCCUUCUUUAGUACGAGAGGACCGAGAAGGACAUACCUCUGGUGUACCAGUUAUCGUGCCAACGGUAAACGCUGGGUAGCUAUGUAUGGAGUGGAUAACCGCUGAAAGCAUCUAAGUGGGAAGCCCACCUCAAGAUAAGUA